rnacentral:lncRNA from 1 species
CUCUGCCAGGCCAGCGCUGCCACACAGCUCCGCUCACUUACAGGGACCUUUCACUUACAUGGGGCAAAAGUGGCGAACACAUUAAAAGAUGAAUAAAUGACCGCAGACAAUAAGGUGCAAAAACUUCCGCUGGACUGCAUUUAGGACCAGAAAGCAAGAGAGAAUCAAGCACUGCAACAGUGAGGAGGCCAUCCUGGAGGAUGGAAAGUCGCCGGAUCCUUAAAGCAAGCCAGAGAGGACAAGCUGGCAACACCUGGAUUUGGACCCAGCAAUAUUGAUUUUAGGCUCUUCGCCUGCUGAGGAUCGAUUGUUGGCUUAAAAAGGGAGAUUGGAGAACUACUUAUUAACCCACAGCUGUGCAUAAGUCUACUCAAAAAUGCUAAAAAAAAGAUAAUACUUCAAGUCAGAAACUUCU